rfam:Camelus ferus unplaced genomic scaffold scaffold1692, whole genome shotgun sequence.
GAGGAUAUUAGCUCAGUGGUAGAGUGCGUGCUUAGCAUGCACAAGGUCCUGGGUUCCAUCCCCAAUACCUCCA